rnacentral:rRNA from 1 species
GGCCCCUUCGGGGGCCGAGUAGAGUGGCGUCCGGGUGAGUAACACGUAGGUAAUCUACCUCUGGGUGGGGAAUAACGACCGGAAACGGUCGCUAAUACCGCAUAAUGCAGCGGCACCACAUGGUGACAGUUGUUAAAGCGGGGGAUCGCAAGACCUCGCGCCUAGAGAGGAGCCUGCGGCGGAUUAGCUAGUUGGCAGGGUAACGGCCUACCAAGGCAACGAUCCGUAGCCGGCCUGAGAGGGCGGUCGGCCACACUGGCACUGACACACGGGCCAGACUCCUACGGGAGGCAGCAGUCGGGAAUUUUGGGCAAUGGGCGAAAGCCUGACCCAGCAACGCCGCGUGAAGGAUGAAGCUUUUCGGAGUGUAAACUUCAUAAGAAUGGGACGAAUAAGGAAGGGCUAAUACCCCUUUUGAUGACGGUACCAUUUGUAAGCUCCGGCUAACUCCGUGCCAGCAGCCGCGGUAAUACGGGGGGAGCAAGCGUUGUUCGGAUUUACUGGGCGUAAAGGGCGCGUAGGCGGCGCAACAAGUCACUUGUGAAAUCUCCGGGCUUAACCCGGAGCGGCCAAGUGAUACUGUCGUGCUAGAGUGCGGAAGGGGCUACUGGAAUUCUCGGUGUAGCGGUGAAAUGCGUAGAUAUCGAGAGGAACACCUGCGGCGAAGGCGGGUAGCUGGGCCGACACUGACGCUGAGGCGCGAAAGCCAGGGGAGCGAACGGGAUUAGAUACCCCGGUAGUCCUGGCCUUAAACGAUGGAUGCUUGGUGUCCGGGGUUACAUAGUCCCCGGGU